rnacentral:rRNA from 1 species
GACGAGCGCUGGCGGCGUGCUUAACACAUGCAAGUCGAACGCGCCUGUCCUCUGGGUUUCUGGGGGGUGGGUGAGUGGCGAACGGGUGAGUAACACGUGAGUAACCUGCCCCCUUCUUCGGGAUAACGGUCUGAAAGGGCUGCUAAUACCGGGUAUUCACUGGUCUCCGCAUGGGGUCUGGUGGAAAGGUUUUUUUCUGGUGGGGGAUUGGCUCGCGGCCUAUCAGCUUGUUGGUGGGGUGAUGGCCCACCAAGGCUUUGACGGGUAGCCGGCCUGAGAGGGUGACCGGUCACAUUGGGACUGAGAUACGGCCCAGACUCCUACGGGGGGCAGCAGUGGGGAAUAUUGCACAAUGGGCGCAAGCCUGAUGCAGCGACGCCGCGUGAGGGAUGGAGGCCUUCGGGUUGUGAACCUCUUUCGCCCGUGGUCAAGCCGCGACGUGGGUCGUGGUGAGGGUAGUGGGUAAAGAAGCGCCGGCUAACUACGUG